UUUUUUAUACGACCGCAAAAAUUUUAAUUUUUUGGUCGUAUAUUGCUAUCACGUUGGCGUCGUCGUCGUCGUCCGAAUACUUUUAGUUUUCGCACUCUAACUUUAGUAAAAGGGAAUAGAAAUCAAUGAAAUUUUAACACAAGGUUUAUGACCACAAAAGGAAGGUUGGGAUUGAUUUUGGGAGUUUUGGUCCCAACAUUUUAGGAAUUAGGGGCCAAAAAGGGCCCAAAUAAGCAUUUUUUGGUUUUCGCACUAUAACUUUAGUUUAAGUGAAUAGAAAUCUAUGAAAUUUUGACACAAGGUUUAUGACCACAAAAGGAAGGUUGGGAUUGAUUUUGGGGGUUUUGGUUCCAACAGUUUAGGAAUUAAGGGCCAAAAAAGGGCCCAAAUAAGCAUUAUUCUUGGUUUUCGCACAAUAACUUUAGUAUAAGUAAAUAGAAAUCAAUGAAAUUUUAGCACAAGGUUUAUGACCACAAAAGGAAGGUUGGGAUUGAUUUUUGGAGUUGAGGUCACAACAGUUUAUGAAUUAGGGGCCAAAAAGGGGCCCAAAUAAGCAUUAUUUUUGGUUUUUGCACCAUAACUUUAGUAUAAGUAAAUAGAAAUCUAUGAAAUUUAAACACAAUGUUUAUGACCAUAAAAGGAAGGUUGGGUUUGAUUUUGGGAGUUUUGGUCCUAACAGUUUAGGAAUAAGGGGCCCAAAGGGUCCAAAAUUGAACUUUGUGUGAUUUCAUCAAAAAUUGAAUAAUUGGGGUUCUUUGAUAUGC
rnacentral:lncRNA from 1 species